rnacentral:rRNA from 1 species
AACGAACGCUGGCGGCAUGCCUAACACAUGCAAGUCGAACGAGACCUUCGGGUCUAGUGGCGCACGGGUGCGUAACGCGUGGGAACCUGCCCUUAGGUUCGGAAUAACUCCCCGAAAGGGGUGCUAAUACCGGAUAAUGUCUUCGGACCAAAGAUUUAUCGCCUUUGGAUGGGCCCGCGUUGGAUUAGCUAGUUGGUAGGGUAAAAGCCUACCAAGGCGACGAUCCAUAGCUGGUCUGAGAGGAUGAUCAGCCACACUGGGACUGAGGCACGGCCCAGACUCCUACGGGAGGCAGCAGUGGGGAAUAUUGGACAAUGGGCGAAGUCCUGAUCCAGCAAUGCCGCGUGAGUGAUGAAGGCCUUAGGGUUGUAAAGCUCUUUUACCCGGGAUGAUAAUGACAGUACCGGGAGAAUAAGCUCCGGCUAACUCCGUG